rnacentral:rRNA from 1 species
GUAGGAUAGAGGCCUACCAUGGUGGUAACGGGUAACGGGGUGUUAGGGCACGACACCGGAGAGGGAGCCUGAGAAACGGCUACCACAUCCAAGGAAGGCAGCAGGCGCGCAAAUUACCCAAUCCCGACACGGGGAGGUAGUGACAAUAAAUAACAAUACAGGGUUCUUUUGGAUCUUGUAACUGGAAUGAGUACAAUUUAAAUCUCUUAACGAGGAACAAUUGGAGGGCAAGUCUGGUGCCAGCAGCCGCGGUAAUUCCAGCUCCAAUAGCGUAUAUUAAAGUUGUUGCAGUUAAAAAGCUCGUAGUUGAAUUUCGGGAUCAAGGAAUCGGUCAUGCCUUGGUAUGUACUGGUUUUAUUGGUUCUCACCUUCUAAAGAACCAUAAUGUCAUUCAUUUGAUGUUAUGGGGAAUUAGGACUGUUACCCUGAAAAAAUUAGAGUGUUUAAAGCAGGCUUACGCUUGAAUACAUUAGCAUGGAAUAAUGAAAUAGGACAUCAGAUUCUAUUUUGUUGGUUUCUAGGAUCGAUGUAAUGAUUAAUAGGGAUAGUUGGGGGCAUUAGUAUUCAAUUGUCAGAGGUGAAAUUCUUGGAUUUAUUGAAGACUAACUACUGCGAAAGCAUUUGCCAAGGAUGUUUUCAUUAAUCAAGAACGAAAGUUAGGGGAUCGAAGACGAUCAGAUACCGUCGUAGUCUUAACCAUAAACUAUGCCGACUAGGGAUCGGAUGAUGUUAAUUUUAUAAUGACUCAUUCGGCACCUUACGGGAAACCAAAGUGUUUGGGUUC